rnacentral:lncRNA from 1 species
GCCAGACUUCUGACCUCUGACCUGUGACCCACUUAAUCCCUGUUAGGGAACACCCAUGGUCAGGCAGAACCUAUAUCCGGAUGGUCAAGGAAUAGAGAUAAUUUCCCAGGGUCCUGGAGGUCCUGAGAAAAAUAAGCCUUGGAUGGAGGACUUUUAGGAAGUCGCAGCCCAGCCCAACACACUACCGAAGAAUAGAGAGACCUAACACGACAUUUCCAAGCCCGUGGCCUGAGGUUGACCAGAAGAGCCAGAACAAUUCUGGCCCCUCAAGAGAAGGGCUCCAGAACGUUGGAACAGACCCCAUUCUCAAGGAGGUGGUGACCUUCCUCUGUGGCCAGGGCUCAGAGCUGCACCUUACAUACACCAACCACCACAAGGGAUCAGGAUGAGGCCGAGCAGCAGAGGAGACGGGAACACUCCAUCGGGUAACCUUCAUCUCAACUCAACAAUACUGACUGAGCAGAGGUAAAAUACUCCACAUAUGCACAGUCUCAGGAGACUCACAGAGGACCCAUGGAUGGAUCACACUUCAUUGAACUUUUUAGGUCUUUUGCUUGUAGGGUUUUUUUAAAAAUUG